rnacentral:rRNA from 1 species
AUGAACGCUGGCGGCGUGCCUAAUACAUGCAAGUCGAGCGAACGGACGAGAAGCUUGCUUCUCUGAUGUUAGCGGCGGACGGGUGAGUAACACGUGGAUAACCUACCUAUAAGACUGGGAUAACUUCGGGAAACCGGAGCUAAUACCGGAUAAUAUUUUGAACCGCAUGGUUCAAAAGUGAAAGACGGUCUUGCUGUCACGUAUAGAUGGAUCCGCGCUGCAUUAGCUAGUUGGUAAGGUAACGGCUUACCAAGGCAACGAUGCAUAGCCGACCUGAGAGGGUGAUCGGCCACACUGGAACUGAGACACGGUCCAGACUCCUACGGGAGGCAGCAGUAGGGAAUCUUCCGCAAAGGGCGAAAGCCUGACGGAGCAACGCCGCGUGAGUGAUGAAGGUCUUCGGAUCGUAAAACUCUGUUAUUAGGGAAGAACAUAUGUGUAAGUAACUGUGCACAUCUUGACGGUACCUAAUCAGAAAGCCACGGCUAACUACGUG